GCCUCUUCCGGGACCUGCUUGGGAGUAUCUCAUGGGAUAGGUUGCUAGAAGGCAAGGGUGCUUGUGAGAGCUGGGCUACAUUUAGGCAGCACUUCUUCCAUGCUCAGGAUCGGUGCAUCCCGAGGAAUAGGAAAUCGGGGAAGGGGGGCAGGAAACCCGCAUGGAUGAGCAAGGAGCUCAUCAGUAAGAUCAAAAGGAAGAGGAUGGUCUAUGAAAUGUGGAAAAAGGGCCUGUCCUCUGGGGAGGAUUACAGAUGUGUUGUCAGGGCCUGCAGGGACGCGACAAGGAAGGCUAAAGCCCACCUAGAGAUGAGGCUUGCAAAAGAGAUAAAGGAUAAGAAGAAAGGUUUUUUCAAGUAUGUAAACAGCAAGAGGAAGACUAGGGAUAAUGUGGGUCCCUUGCUGAAUGAGGGGGAUGUCCUGGUCACGGGAGACACUGAGAAGGCAGAGAUACUGAAUGCUUUCUUUGCUUCAGUCUUUGCUUCAAGGACACUCCCCCAGGACUCCUCGCCCCUGGCAAUAGGACAAAGGGUCUGGGAAAUGGAGGGCUCCCCCCUGGUGGAUGUGGGAGUGGUUCGGGAGUGUCUGAGUGGGUUCAACACACACAAAUCCAUGGGUCCCGAUGGGAUGCAUCCGCGUGUGCUAAGGGAGCUGGCAGAUGUGAUUGCCAAACUGCUCUCUAUCAUCUUUGAAAGGUCCUGGAGAACAGGAGAGGUGCCUGAAGACUGGAGGAUAGCCAAUGUCACUCCGGUCUUCAAGAGGGGCAGGAAGGGGGAUCCGGGAAACUACAGGCCAGUCAGUCUCACCUCUGUCCCUGGAAAGGCGUUGGAGCAGCUUGUUCGGGGUGCCGUCUCCAAGCAAUUGGAAGAGAAGAAGGUUAUGAGGAGUAGUCAGCAUGGAUUCACCAAGGGGAAGUCGGGCUCAACCAAACUCGUUGCCUCCUGUGAUGGCAUCACCAGCUGGGUAGAUGGGGGGAGAGCGGUGGAUGUCAUCUUCCUUGACUUUAGCAAGGCUUUCGAUACU
rnacentral:lncRNA from 1 species